AACGAACGUUGGCGGCGUGGCUUAGGCAUGCAAGUCGAACGAGAAAGUUUCCUUCGGGGAGCGAGUAUAGUGGCAAAAGGGUGAGUAAUGAUUAGUUAACCUACCCCUAAAACUGGGAUAACUACCCGAAAGGGUUGCUAAUACCGGAUGGUCUAUGAGAGAUGCAUAUCUUUUAUAGUAAAGGCGCUCGCAAGGGUGUCGAUUAGGGAGGGGAUUAAUUCCUAUUAGCUAGUUGGUGAGGUAAUGGCUCUACCAAGGCAUUGAUGGGUAACCGAUCUGAGAGGAUGACCGGUCACACUGGGACUGAGACACUGCCCAGACUCCUACGGGAGGCUGCAGUCGCGAAUAUUCCGCAAUGGACGCAAGUCUGACGGAGCGACGCCGCGUGUGGGAUGAAGGCCUUAGGGUUGUAAACCACUGUCACACUUUAAGAAAUCAAUUAGGGUAACUCCUAGUUGUUGACAAAGGAGUGGAAGGAAGUCACGGCUAACUACGUGCCAGCAGCCGCGGUAAUGU
rnacentral:rRNA from 1 species